AGCACAAACUUGAAGUAGAAUAGUUGGGUUUGGUCAGCUGAUCCUACUAAUCUACUCUACAUCAAGUUUGUGCUC
rfam:Haemonchus placei strain MHpl1 genome assembly, scaffold: HPLM_scaffold0007123